rnacentral:rRNA from 1 species
CGGCAAAAGCUCAAAUUUGAAAUCUGGCCCUUCCGGGGUCCGAGUUGUAAUUUGUAGAGGAUGCUUCGGGUGCGGCCCCCGUCUAAGUGCUCUGGAACGGGCCAUCGGAGAGGGUGACAAUCCCGUCUGGGAUGGGGUGCCCGCGUCCGUGUGAAGCUCCUUCGAC